rnacentral:rRNA from 1 species
CAGCAGCCACGGUAAUACGUAGGGUGCAAGCGUUAUCCGGAAUUAUUGGGCGUAAAGAGCUCGUAGGCGGUUUGUCGCGUCUGCUGUGAAAACUGGAGGCUCAACCUCCAGCCUGCAGUGGGUACGGGCAGACUAGAGUGCGGUAGGGGAGAUUGGAAUUCCUGGUGUAGCGGUGGAAUGCGCAGAUAUCAGGAGGAACACCGAUGGCGAAGGCAGAUCUCUGGGCCGUAACUGACGCUGAGGAGCGAAAGCGUGGGGAGCGAACAGGAUUAGAUACCCCAGUAGUCCCUGUCUCUUAUAC